UCGUGCCUACGGGGGGCAGCAGUGGGGAAUAUUGCACAAUGGGGGAAACCCUGAUGCAGCAACGCCGCGUGAGUGAGGAAGUAUUUCGGUAUGUAAAGCUCUAUCAGCAGGGAAUAGAAAAGAAGGUACCUGAAAAAGAAGCCACGGCUAACUACGUGCCAGCAGCCGCGGUAAUACGUAGGUGGCAAGCGUUGUCCGGAUUUACUGGGUGUAAAGGGCGUGUAGCCGGGCUGACAAGUCAGAUGUGAAAUCCGGGGGCUCAACCCCCGAACUGCAUUUGAAACUGUUGGUCUUGAGUAUCGGAG
rnacentral:rRNA from 1 species